rnacentral:rRNA from 1 species
UAGAGGUUUUGAUCCUGGCUCAGGAUGAACGCUGGCGGCGUGCCUAAUACAUGCAAGUCGAGCGAACGGAUAAGGAGCUUGCUCCUUUGAAGUUAGCGGCGGACGGGUGAGUAACACGUGGGUAACCUACCUAUAAGACUGGAAUAACUUCGGGAAACCGGAGCUAAUGCCGGAUAACAUAUAGAACCGCAUGGUUCUAUAGUGAAAGAUGGUUUUGCUAUCACUUAUAGAUGGACCCGCGCUGUAUUAGCUAGUUGGUAAGGUAAUGGCUUACCAAGGCGACGAUACAUAGCCGACCUGAGAGGGUGAUCGGCCACACUGGAACUGAGACACGGUCCAGACUCCUACGGGAGGCAGCAGUAGGGAAUCUUCCGCAAUGGGCGAAAGCCUGACGGAGCAACGCCGCGUGAGUGAUGAAGGUUUUCGGAUCGUAAAACUCUGUUAUUAGGGAAGAACAAAUGCGUAAGUAACUGUGCGCAUCUUGACGGUACCUAAUCAGAAAGCCACGGCUAACNACG